rnacentral:rRNA from 1 species
UGAUAUGAACCGUUAUAACCGGCGAUUUCCGAAUGGGGAAACCCAGUGUGUUUCGACACACUAUCAUUAACUGAAUCCAUAGGUUAAUGAGGCGAACCGGGGGAACUGAAACAUCUAAGUACCCCGAGGAAAAGAAAUCAACCGAGAUUCCCCCAGUAGCGGCGAGCGAACGGGGAGCAGCCCAGAGCCUGAAUCAGUGUGUGUGUUAGUGGAAGCGUCUGGAAAGGCGUGCGAUACAGGGUGACAGCCCCGU